AUUGAACGCUGGCGGCAGGCUUAACACAUGCAAGUCGGGCGGAGAUGAGGUGCUUGCACCUUAUCUUAGCGGCGGACGGGUGAGUAAUGCUUAGGAACCUGCCUAUUAGUGGGGGACAACAUUCAGAAAGGAAUGCUAAUACCGCAUACGCCCUACGGGGAAAGCAGGGGAUCUUCGGACCUUGCGCUAAUAGAUGAGCCUAAGUCGGAUUAGCUAGUUGGUGGGGUAAAGGCCUACCAAGGCGACGAUCUGUAGCGGGUCUGAGAGGAUGAUCCGCCACGCUGGGACUGAGACACGGCCCAGACUCCUACGGGAGGCAGCAGUGGGGAAUAUUGGACAAUGGGCGGAAGCCUGAUCCAGCCAUGCCGCGUGUGUGAAGAAGGCCUUUUGGUUGUAAAGCACUUUAAGCGAGGAGGAGGCUACCUGGAUUAAUACUCUAGGAUAGUGGACGUUACUCGCAGAAUAAGCACCGGCUAACUCUGUGCCAGCAGCCGCGGUAACAC
rnacentral:rRNA from 1 species